GUGACCUAUCGAGUGUGAGAUGAAAUUUGCUCAGCGUCGAAUAAUAAUUUGCAGAUGCGACGAGCGAGGGUACCUCCUGAAUGAUGUCCGACAUUCCGUCCUCCUCCUCGUCGGCCUCUGUGGUCGCGGGAGGUUCCAAGGACAAACUUGAGCUCACAGACUGGACACACGCACACAAUCGCAGGUCAUGUUGUGGGCCUGUCUGGUGCGGUCCUGCCGGCCAAUCAGCAGGCAAACCUCCUCUGACCAAUCGGCGCAGGGCUGCUCCCGGCAGUGGUAGAUGGCGUCUCGGAUGGGCAGAGCCACGCCGAAAGGGACCGACUCCAAGUCUUUGAGGGUGAACCCUGAACCGCAACCAAACGUAAAGCGAUCAUAUACUGUGAGAUUGGUAAAGUCCGAAAGACAUUCACCUUGCGAGUUGCCCUUUCAAAUCGGCUCCUCAUAGCACUGUGAGCUGAUUCACCUUUUGUACUGCUGCUCACUGGUCUUUUGGCCUGAAGAGGGGAAAAACAGAAAGAGGUCAACAUGCUCGAUAAUUAGCACCAUCAUCAGACAUCCGCGGCUCUGCUGUAUUGUCUCCAUUCAGCCGGCACAAAUUGAAAACACGGGAGCGCAAAUUGCACUUUCGAUUGCUCCUGUGUUGGGUGAUGAUGGUUUGGGUGAAAGAAAAACAAAAAAAACACCACAAUGCUGUCAGACUACAAAGUCAAUGUCCAAGUGAUUCUCAAGGCCCCAUCAAAUACUUGCAAGGAGCUGUCUGUCAUCAUCACGGUAUCCUUUUACAAAGCAAAAGCAUCGCAUCACACGCCUUUAUUUUUGCUUCCUGAGGCGGUGCGCUGGGAUUGACAAGGGUGGCGCAUCGGGACAGCUCGCGCACAAACGCAUACGGCGGGUGACGUCAUGGCAGCCACUGACCUGCAGAGAGCUUCACCAAGUAUUCAGACGCAUUGGAUGUGGUGGCUUUGUCGUCGCCGCUGAUGUAGAGAGCAUAACUCUGAAGAUGCAGAGAAAGUAUAUAUAAGACAGACUUCAUUUUCCAUUUGUCAAUUUUCUAUCUCGCUGACCCUUAAAAGAGAUGAAGCAUGACAAAGGCCAGAGCAAAGAUUCGGACCCAGGGACUGUGUAUAUGAGCAGACCUACCAGAACCAACAGCCGGAGCCUGUGGCAGACACCGGGCAGGAAGAAGAGGAGGAGGCGGAGAAGGCAGCCUGAGUGGAGCAAAAUGACAGCUGACCUACACGAUGAUGAUUUCGGCAGCUUUUUAAAAAACACGGGACAAGGACACAGUGAAGAAUACAGGACACGUGCAUGUUUAAAACCAGGACAAAAAAACGGUUCUCCUCUCCCUGUGACAUUCGGCGUUAUUGUUUUGUGGUAAUUAAACUCGGAGUCAGACCUGGUCCUUUUGUUUAACUUGACAUAAUCAAUAGUUUUUAAUUCAGCACGAGCGCUUCGUCCCACUCGGCUCUGUGUCCAUUUAACCAAAAUGGGUGACUUUAAAAGGGAGCAUUAUAGUUUACAA